rnacentral:lncRNA from 1 species
UUUGGAUACCAAGUUUGCCCUUCCCCAGUGUGAUGUGAAUUUAACAUUCUCUUUCUUCCCUGUUUCAUCAAAUUUUAAAUUCUCUUUCUUCCAAUUUCUCCAUUCCGAUAGGUUUCUUGGCUUCGCUUUCGCCCUUCUGAUAUCGUUAUUGCCUUCGUUUUCGCCAUCUGACUGUCGUUCAUCCUUCUCGUUGCCCUGUUGGCCUUCGUUGUCGGUGU